rnacentral:rRNA from 1 species
AUUGAACGCUGGCGGCAGGCCUAACACAUGCAAGUCGAGCGGAUGAAGGGAGCUUGCUCCUGGAUUCAGCGGCGGACGGGUGAGUAAUGCCUAGGAAUCUGCCUGGUAGUGGGGGAUAACGUCCGGAAACGGGCGCUAAUACCGCAUACGGCCUGAGGGAGAAAGUGGGGGAUCUUCGGACCUCACGCUAUCAGAUGAGCCUAGGUCGGAUUAGCUAGUUGGUGGGGUAAAGGCCUACCAAGGCGACGAUCCGUAACUGGUCUGAGAGGAUGAUCAGUCACACUGGAACUGAGACACGGUCCAGACUCCUACGGGAGGCAGCAGUGGGGAAUAUUGGACAAUGGGCGAAAGCCUGAUCCAGCCAUGCCGCGUGUGUGAAGAAGGUCUUCGGACUGUAAAGCACUUUAAGUUGGGAGGAAGGGCAGUAAGUUAAUACCUUGCUGUUUUGACGUUACCAACAGAAUAAGCACCGGCUAACUUCGUG